rnacentral:lncRNA from 1 species
UAAAGCUCAAGCUUGAUGCUCUAUCUAUGAGCAGACAGCCAUUAAGCAGACUUGACUGGAAGUUGAAGAGGUGAACUUGAAUCCUUGACCUGUCAAAAGCAGUUGGCCUUUUUGAUGAUGGCUACAUGUUUUUUUCUAUGGAUGACUUCUUUGGGGUGUGAAGAGAGGUAGAGACUACGUCCAUGCAAGGAACCAAGAGUUCUAACCAAAGGUAUGGAAGUCUCAAAUUUGGUUUUUGUGUUUUGUGAUUUAAAGCCGAUACAAUGAUGAAAACAUAGUUCAGCAGACUAACAGUGAUGAGCAAAUACUGUCUUUCGCUCCUAUCUGAUGUAUCUGGCUACAACAAUUCUGUUUUAUACCUUUGAAAGUGGAAAUUAGUCAUAUUAGUCUUUGUCUCACUGAAAUGUUCAGGAUUUGGAUAAGUAUAAUGUAAGUGUCCUAUAUAGUUAAUUUCAGGAUUAGGAGUUAACAUUUUGAUAAGAACAGGCUAAAACUGAGGAAAUUUCCAUGUCAUAACUGUAGACAACACCAGAAUGAGUAGUUGAUG